rnacentral:rRNA from 1 species
AUUGAACGCUGGCGGCAGGCCUACCACAUGCAAGUCGAACGAGUGGCGGACGGGUGAGUAAUGUCUGGGAAACUGCCCGAUGGAGGGAGAUAACUACUGGAAACGGUUGCUCAUACCGCAUACCAUCGGAUGUGCCCAGAUGGGAUUAGCUCGUAGGUGGGGUAACGGCUCACCUAGGCGACGAUCCCUAGCUGGUCUGAGAGGAUGACCAGCCACACUGGAACGGAGACACGGGCCAUACUCCUACGGGAGGCAGCAGUGGGGAAGAGGGCACAAUGGGCGCAAGCCUGAUGCAGCCAUGCCGCGUGUAUGAAGAAGGCCUUCGGGUUGUAAAGUAAUUUCAGCGGGGAGGCGUUACCCGCAGAAGAAGCACCAGCAAACUCCGUGCCAGCAGCCGCGGUAAUAC